ensembl:lncRNA
GGCGAACAGGACACCGACGCGCAGCGGAGGUGUCCUGUUCGCCCUGUCGGGGCUUAUUUUCUCGAUAAUGACCGGCGUUCUAUACAUUAUCCCUUACGUAUUUAAUAGAGAAACCGAGCUUGUACACCAGAGAAAUUACGAGCCUAUAAGUCACUGGAUGAUGCUUAUGAAUACGUUGUCUGUGGUCAUGUACAGAACGUCAAAUACCAUGACAUGACUAGAGUUUUAUGUGGUGAAAUCAGAAUUUUGUAUUAUGUCCUCAUUCCAGUCAACACGUUUAAUCGCCUGCAGCCACAGACGCCGCCGGUUGCUCUUAAAUGGUUGUGAUCCUGUCGGAAUCCUAUACAACUUUAGUCCGCCGGUGGAAUAUCGAUUCUGACAACCAUAUACGCAACAACCAGACAUUUUGAUGCUGGAAACUUUUUUUGAUCCACUUAUAAACUCUUGCUAGUCAGUUGCUACGUCGUGUGUGAGUCAGAACGACUGGGAAACAAUACCACUUCUGUUGCCGGCAUGCGCACGCAACUAUUUGAUGACGUUGGCUGUAAAAGGGUCUAUUUGCAUUGACAAAUAAACAACUUCCCAUGAUGCAACAGUUUGUCCUUGAGCUUGACAUGCCAAAUGCUCAACAUGGGCACCACCUCGAUGCUAAAAUAUCCUCCCUACCCUCCUCAACCAUGGUGCAUAGCAAUGAGGAGCUGAGAGCAGGCCCUCAUUUGUGGCAUGCCUUCACAUGAGACUUUAAUUCAUUCCCAAAUCUCAAGAUACAAGAAAAAGGGCUCCUGUCAGCUUAUAGCCAUGCAGCUAACUUCUGCUGUCCAGUCUGUCAGCAGAGCUGUGAAGAGGGCCAUUAACCACAGACAUGUGACAGGGCGGUGGGCUGGCUCUGAGUUCACCAAACACCGGUCAUGUGACCAUCAAUCAGGCCGGAGACAUAAAAGAAAGACAGAAAGAUGCUGGAUGGCUACUGACAUGAAAUCCCCCGUCACCGGUCCGGAGACAGAAGGCUGUCUCGUUUAGCCAUGGAGCAUCUUCACACCCCCAGGAGCACAAUUUUGCAAGAGGAUUCGUUUUCCGCCACAGAAUCAACAAUGGCAGUGUUAAGUCGAUGAUUCAACAGAAGACGUCGCCGUGCCAACUACCUGUCAAAUGCGUCAACACAACAAAGCCAACAUAAACACAAACGUAUACAACCACGGCUACAAUAAAGACGUACGUCCACGUUUACGAUUCAGACACUCGAAACGUCUUAUAAUAGUUCAAUGUUAAAUGUCAUGCCUGCUAACAGCGCACCGCUCCUAGUUGAGCUAAUCGUCUCUGAUUAAAACGUCAUUAUUUCAUUGCUACGUGAUGUCGAUGCCUUGUGCUACGCGCCACACACAGGGACAUAGGAAGUUGGCGUUACCUAAUGAGCCUUCACAGCCUCUCUUGCAAACACAAUUACAGUAACAGCGUGCAUUUAAAAACAUCACAAUCGUGUAAUUACCCAAAACAAUACACAACAUUAAGAUUAUUAUGGUAAUUAGAGGAAGCGAGCAAACGCUGACACGUAGAAGGAUGCCAUGACCUCGGAUGGAUUGUAAAAUGUCUAGUUUACAGCAUCCAGCCUUACUAAAAACAGAACCAAACAUUAAUGUAGGCCUACUGUAACAACAAUGCUUUCAAUCAAUAUGAAAUUAGAUGUGGGUUAGGAGAUUUUUAUGACAUUCAUGAUGUAUGAUGAUUAUCAUAAUUAUAAAACUGUAAUCUAGCUUGUAUUUGAGCAGCUCAUUAGUGAAUAAUUAUCAAUUAAUUCAUGCACAACAUCUUAAGGAACACAGGAUGAGGAUAGAUCUUGAGAUAAAAUUGCAUUGAUAGUCUAUCCAAAAGUCUGAAUUAACCACGAGGAAAUAUGUCGUUUAAAUGGUUCAUUAAUGAAUUAUAAUUAUCCAAAAAAAUCAAAAAAUCUAUUAAAAAAAGAUGAAUCAUCAUCAUAAUCCUUUUAAUUAAUUUUACUAAUCAAGCGAUAUUCCCUUGAACAAUCUAAAAAUGCUGCACUGGGCUAAAACCAAACAUGCAAGUAGAGCUAAAACAGUAAAACCCUUGCUAAGAAACCCACUGAAGGUCUCCAUGUACAGGUCUCUGGGUCUGUUUUGACGGGGGGCAGCAGAGCAAAGCCCAGACUCCCCUUUUGAGUCCCGGGGGUCUUUGUGUUCGGGAGCUCCCUAUCUCGGAUCCUCCCUGCUUCUUAUCUCUGCUCCUCAGUAAGCUGUGCUGAACAGGGUUCUUUGUGCCUUACCGGUAUGGGGACGUAAAGACAAACCGUCUGACUGACAUUGCUGGGUUUAACAUUUUCUGGGUUCAAUAUAAUUUUUGUAUGUUUUUUAACUGUAUGAAUUGUCUUUAAUUCUGCUACAAUUUGCAGAAGAAGAUAAUUGAUUUUUCUUAAAGAAAAAAUAAAUCACAAAAUAAAUCACAACACCGCUUACAGUGGUGUGUAUCAACUUAUAUGUAGAAGGGUGCUUGAGUUGCCAUCAUCAAUGUAUUAGGCUACUAUUUAUAUUCAUGGGUAUGGCCCCUUUCCAAUGUUUAAUAAUGAGUGUUUAUGAAUGUGAGCACUUGGACUGCACAGUCUUCUGUGCGUGGUGUUGAGUGAGAACCUGCUGUUUGUUUGUUCCAUGAUAUUGCUUUGCAAACAGUGCAAUGUAAAACUGUUUGUCCCACUGAGCCGACAAUCUUAUGAUUAUUUCAUGAUUAUAUUAUAUUUAUCAUACUCGACUGAGGAAAAAGGUCAUAUUUAAUUGAUUAAAGCAGAAAGAGGGUGUGAUUGUAAGUUCAUAGAGAAAACACUAGUUUAAAGUACUGUUUAGCCCCAUCAGGUAUGAUUGCUCUAUGUGGGACAAGACCACCUUCGUGGCGAAGAUGGGGCCUACACACUCGUUUUAACUUCAUGGAGCAGACCC